AACGAACGCUGGCGGCAUGCCUAACACAUGCAAGUCGAAGGAGACCUUCGGGUCGAGGGGCGAACGGGUGCGUAACGCCUUGAAACCUGCCCUUAGUAUCGGAAUAACUCCCCGAAAGGGGUGCUAAUACCGGAAAAAGUCUUCGGACCAAAGAUUUAUCGCCAUUUGAUGGGCCCACGUUGGAUUAGCUAGUUUGUAGAGUAAAAGCCUACCAAGGCGACGAUCCAUAGCUGGUCUUAGAGGAUGAUCAGCCACAAUGGGACUGAGACACGGCCCAGACUCCUACGGGAGGCAGCGGUGGGGAGUAUUGGACAAUGGGCGAAAGCCUGAUCCAGAAAUGCCGCGUGAGUGAUGAAGGCCUUAGGGUUGUAAAGCUCUUUUACCCGGGAUGAUAAUGACAGUACCGUGAGAAUAAGCUCCGGCUAACUCCGUG
rnacentral:rRNA from 1 species